rnacentral:rRNA from 1 species
GCGGCGGGCCUAACACAUGCAAGUCGAACGGGCUAGCAAUAGUCAGUGGCGCGACGGGUGACGUAACACGUGGGUAAUCAACCCUUCAGCGUCGGGAUAACGCCUUAGGAAAGGGCGACUAAUACCGGAUGCGACGCGAGGAGCCUCGGCGCUUCGGACGGGAAAGAUUCGCAAGGAUCACUGAAGGACGAGCCUGCGGCCCAUCAGCUAGUUGGUGAGGUAAGAGCUCACCAAGGCGAAGACGGGUAGCUGGUCUGAGAGGAUGAUCAGCCACACUGGAACUGAGACACGGUCCAGACUCCUACGGGAGGCAGCAGUGGGGAAUAUUGCGCAAUGGGCGAAAGCCUGACGCAGCCACGCCGCGUGAGCGAUGAAGGCCUUCGGGUCGUAAAGCUCUGUGGGGAGAGAAGAAUAAAGCCUGUGAAGAAUGGGCCUUGACGGUAUCUCCUUAGCAAGCACCGGCUAACUCCGUG